rnacentral:lncRNA from 10 species
CAACAAAACAGGUUUGGCAAAGGACUAUUUAUCAAACACAGUCACACAACGAUUAUGAAACCACAUGAUAAGAUAGCACACAAAGAAAACAUUGGCUAUUUAACUACUCAGGAGGAAAAACUAGGUGUUCCUAGUUUUUCCUAGGUGGAAGGGGGAAGCAGGCUAAAAAGCAGUUUUUAGGGUUUCAGAUAUGUAAUUGUGGCAGCAGGCACAGCAUCAGGGUAAAUCUUCCUUUUGACUUCCUCAGAACACCAGUUGAGAUUUAUAGAUCUUGCUUGGACUGCCCUUAAGUACGCUGCUCCAGAGAACUCUGCUCUACAUUGUCAGAAACCAGCUUUCAAGAUAUACUCAGAGAAGAAUCACGAGUGCCAAGAGAGACCAUGAGGCAAACUGCUCUCCAUUGAAGUAUGGAAGCCUACUUGGGACACUAAGUUUCAUGCAGAAGGCUCCAUGAGUUUACAGAAUCUCAAGGAAGAAAGGCCCCUAGAGAUGACACCAGAAAUGAGAGUGGCUUGCUCAUGAAAAUUGGACAGCAUGUUCCAAGCAGAGGGAACAGCAUGGAGAAGAAAAAUCAUACUCUAUCCACGUGCAGAAACUGGCAAUUAGUUUUGUAUUACUAAAACACAAAUGUUUAACUUGGGGGUCCACAAACAAGGAUAUGUUGGCAAAUGGUAUUUGCUGUGCAUGAUGACAACUUGAACUUUCAUCAGGUUUUUUAUGGGUCUAUGAAAUGGGUCAAGGGGACUUAGCUAAGAAUGACUGUGGGUAAAAUGCAUGACAAGGAGGGAUACAGACAGGAGAUGAAUCUCUCAGGGUCCAAGAGACCAGGGUAAGAUGUGCAGAUUCCUUCCUGUGUAUGAUGGAAAUGUUUUACAGGGUCUGAAGGGGGAAGUUUAGAAGGACAGCCUGCUGAAAUGGGGACAGCUUGAAAUGCAGAGCAAGGCAGAAUGCAGACAACACUCCAAGGCAUCUAAGGAGCCAAACAGAGGCAGUGGGAAUAGAACAGAGUGAAUCAGAGACAGGUUAGGAGAGAAAAUGAGCAGCUUCCAUGUUCAUAUUUGCUUGCAUAUGCAUAAAAUGUCACUAGAAGAUUCUCAGUUAACUAACACUGGUUACCUGUGGAUUAGUGAAAUGGGUGACAGGGGAAUGAGGAUGAGAGGGAGUACUUUCACUCUAGAGCCAUGCGUACCUUUUGAACCAUGAGGAUACUACCUAUUCUAAAAAUAAAUUUAAAAAAAGACAUGAAGGUUAUCAGAAUGAGAUGCCUCUAUGUAAAAACCUGCCUAGGUCCCCCUCCAAACCCCCUCUUAUGUUUUAAGUUGCACUUUUGAAUUCAGAUCAUUUUUAUGCCAAAGGCUACCAGACUGUACCAAUGACUGACCCUUGAGAAAGGCCAAUCUUUCUGCUUACUGUGGUGAUAAAUAUAUCAAGCCUAACUUAUCAUGUCGAUGUAAAUAAUGAGUUACCUGGGUAAAUUCAACCAACUUAACAAUUAGGUGUCAAAACAUCAGUAUGAAGAAUUAACUCCAGGAGCUCAAUCUUUUAAAUUUCAUGGUAAAUAAAAGAGGCUCAGAGAAGACUCUGAUUUAUUAAAACAAGGAUAAAUCACAUGAAUCACUGACGCGAAGGUCAGAUUGUCGAUUCACUCUGGUGAGUGUUAUGCUAAGUUAGGCUAGCCCUUCAGCUAAAAAUGACUUUAUUCUAUUGAAACUCCUGUUCAACCUAUAUAGCGUUUAAGGCAGGUACUCCAAAUAUAAUUGACUUAAAUUGAAUGGCUUUAUUAAUUUCAAAUUAGUAAUGAGUGAAUAUAAAUGUAAGAGUUUAAAAAAAAGUUUUGUAAAACUAUGUAACAUUGUUUUCCAUUUGGCUAAGUUCAAAUGUACUAAAUUUGCAAUUCUUGUUCAAAACAUUUAAUGUAACCCAUUAAACUUGUUCAUCAAAAACAUACUGUGUCCAGAG